GCCGCGGUAGCUCAGGCGGGAGAGCGCCAGACUGAAGAUCUGGAAGUCGCCGGUUCGAUCCCGGCCCGCGGCACCA
rnacentral:tRNA from 4 species